GUCCUUGUAGCACAGCAGGAUAGUGCAAUCGCCUCCUAAGCGAUAGGUCGGCAGUUCGAAUCUGCCCAAGGACGCCA
rnacentral:tRNA from 1 species